GGUUAAGCGACUAAGCGUACACGGUGGAUGCCCUGGCAGUCAGAGGCGAUGAAGGACGUGCUAAUCUGCGAUAAGCGUCGGUAAGGUGAUAUGAACCGUUAUAACCGGCGAUUUCCGAAUGGGGAAACCCAGUGUGAUUCGUCACACUAUCAUUACGUGAAUACAUAGCGUAAUGAAGCGAACCGGGGGAACUGAAACAUCUAAGUACCCCGAGGAAAAGAAAUCAACCGAGAUUCCCCCAGUAGCGGCGAGCGAACGGGGAGGAGCCCAGAGCCUGAAUCAGUGUGUGUGUUAGUGGAAGCGUCUGGAAAGGCGCGCGAUACAGGGUGACAGCCCCGUACACAAAAAUGCACAUGCUGUGAGCUCGAAGAGUAGGGCGGGACACGUGGUAUCCUGUCUGAAUAUGGGGGGACCAUCCUCCAAGGCUAAAUACUCCUGACUGACCGAUAGUGAACCAGUACCGUGAGGGAAAGGCGAAAAGAACCCCGGCGAGGGGAGUGAAAAAGAACCUGAAACCGUGUACGUACAAGCAGUGGGAGCCUCUUAAUGGGGUGACUGCGUACCUUUUGUAUAAUGGGUCAGCGACUUAUAUUCUGUAGCAAGGUUAACCGAAUAGGGGAGCCGGAGGGAAACCGAGUCUUAACUGGGCGUUAAGUUGCAGGGUAUAGACCCGAAACCCGGUGAUCUAGCCAUGGGCAGGUUGAAGGUUGGGUAACACUAACUGGAGGACCGAACCGACUAAUGUUGAAAAAUUAGCGGAUGACUUGUGGCUGGGGGUGAAAGGCCAAUCAAACCGGGAGAUAGCUGGUUCUCCCCGAAAGCUAUUUAGGUAGCGCCUCGUGAAUUCAUCUCCGGGGGUAGAGCACUGUUUCGGCAAGGGGGUCAUCCCGACUUACCAACCCGAUGCAAACUGCGAAUACCGGAGAAUGUUAUCACGGGAGACACACGGCGGGUGCUAACGUCCGUCGUGAAGAGGGAAACAACCCAGACCGCCAGCUAAGGUCCCAAAGUCAUGGUUAAGUGGGAAACGAUGUGGGAAGGCCCAGACAGCCAGGAUGUUGGCUUAGAAGCAGCCAUCAUUUAAAGAAAGCGUAAUAGCUCACUGGUCGAGUCGGCCUGCGCGGAAGAUGUAACGGGGCUAAAUAAACCAUGCACCGAAGCUGCGGCAGCGACGCUGAUGCGUUGUUGGGUAGGGGAGCGUUCUGUAAGCCUGUGAAGGUGUGCUGUGAGGCAUGCUGGAGGUAUCAGAAGUGCGAAUGCUGACAUAAGUAACGAUAAAGCGGGUGAAAAGCCCGCUCGCCGGAAGACCAAGGGUUCCUGUCCAACGUUAAUCGGGGCAGGGUGAGUCGACCCCUAAGGCGAGGCCGAAAGGCGUAGUCGAUGGGAAACAGGUUAAUAUUCCUGUACUUGGUGUUACUGCGAAGGGGGGACGGAGAAGGCUAUGUUGGCCGGGCGACGGUUGUCCCGGUUUAAGCGUGUAGGCUGGUUUUCCAGGCAAAUCCAGAGAAUCAAGGCUGAGGCGUGAUGACGAGGCACUACGGUGCUGAAGCAACAAAUGCCCUGCUUCCAGGAAAAGCCUCUAAGCAUCAGGUAGCAUCAAAUCGUACCCCAAACCGACACAGGUGGUCAGGUAGAGAAUACCAAGGCGCUUGAGAGAACUCGGGUGAAGGAACUAGGCAAAAUGGUGCCGUAACUUCGGGAGAAGGCACGCUGAUGGUAGGUGAAGCGACUUGCUCGUGGAGCUGAAAUCAGUCGAAGAUACCAGCUGGCUGCAACUGUUUAUUAAAAACACAGCACUGUGCAAACACGAAAGUGGACGUAUACGGUGUGACGCCUGCCCGGUGCCGGAAGGUUAAUUGAUGGGGUCAGCGCAAGCGAAGCUCUUGAUCGAAGCCCCGGUAAACGGCGGCCGUAACUAUAACGGUCCUAAGGUAGCGAAAUUCCUUGUCGGGUAAGUUCCGACCUGCACGAAUGGCGUAAUGAUGGCCAGGCUGUCUCCACCCGAGACUCAGUGAAAUUGAACUCGCUGUGAAGAUGCAGUGUACCCGCGGCAAGACGGAAAGACCCCGUGAACCUUUACUAUAGCUUGACACUGAACACUGGUCCUUGAUGUGUAGGAUAGGUGGGAGGCUUUGAAGUGUGGACGCCAGUCUGCAUGGAGCCGUCCUUGAAAUACCACCCUUUAAUGGCUGGUGUUCUAACGUUGGCCCCUUAUCGGGGUUGCGGACAGUGUCUGGUGGGUAGUUUGACUGGGGCGGUCUCCUCCUAAAGAGUAACGGAGGAGCACGAAGGUUGGCUAAUCCUGGUCGGACAUCAGGAGGUUAGUGCAAUGGCAUAAGCCAGCUUGACUGCGAGCGUGACGGCGCGAGCAGGUGCGAAAGCAGGUCAUAGUGAUCCGGUGGUUCUGAAUGGAAGGGCCAUCGCUCAACGGAUAAAAGGUACUCCGGGGAUAACAGGCUGAUACCGCCCAAGAGUUCAUAUCGACGGCGGUGUUUGGCACCUCGAUGUCGGCUCAUCACAUCCUGGGGCUGAAGUAGGUCCCAAGGGUAUGGCUGUUCGCCAUUUAAAGUGGUACGCGAGCUGGGUUUAGAACGUCGUGAGACAGUUCGGUCCCUAUCUGCCGUGGGCGCUGGAGAACUGAGGGGGGCUGCUCCUAGUACGAGAGGACCGGAGUGGACGCAUCACUGGUGUUCGGGUUGUCAUGCCAAUGGCACUGCCCGGUAGCUAAAUGCGGAAGAGAUAAGUGCUGAAAGCAUCUAAGCACGAAACUUGCCCCGAGAUGAGUUCUCCCUGAGACUUAGAGUCUCCUGAAGGAACGUUGAAGACGACGACGUUGAUAGGCCGGGUGUGUAAGCGCAGCGAUGCGUUGAGCUAACCGGUACUAAUGAACCGUGAGGCUUAACCUU
rnacentral:rRNA from 1 species